rnacentral:lncRNA from 1 species
UAGUGCAUCAAACAUCUUUUCUAUUUUUCGAAUCAUGUCUCUACAACCAGAAGGUCAGGUCCACUCUCAAAUAGUAGUGGAUUAAGCCUUCUAAAUCUCUCAUAAUAUAACUCUAAAGAUAGUGCAAAUUGAAGAGCGACUUGUAUCUGCUGUUGUUAAAUAAGCUGGGCCACUACUUGAUAUACUCUAGUAAUGUCUGCCUGAG